CGCGUGUGCGCCUAUCAACUAAUUAUUGACGUUAUGAACAUGAUAUUUCGUUAUCGGUCGUUUUAUUUUUUACUAUACCUACGCGUAGCUAUUAUGUGUCCGUUGUAUAUUUGACCGAUCGGCGUAUCGUCGGAUCGUCGACGCUCCAGAUCGAUUGUCAACCAUCUCUUUCCUGGUUCCUACCUAUGCACUCCACCUGCAGGACCCAUUCCCUGUUCCACUUGCUCGACUCUGCACCUCUUAUGGGUUUCAAUAAUUCCCUCUGCUAAACGCUGUUCAGUCCGGUCUCUUUCCGCCUCUCGCCUUAGAUUUAUGUUACCCCGCUGUUGUCACCCCAUCCGUCUAUAGUUCUAGUCGACUUUAAAAUCGUCGCGUACGAAAUUUCCCGUUUUUGAUGUUUAAAAUGUUAACGAAUAAUCACACGGAGUUCUGAAUGACCGCGGCUAUUUCGAUUCAAUUCGAUUCGUACAAUAAAUAAUACAGAGAGAGGAUAUUAUUGUCGACGACCUAAAAAAAAGAAAUGACCGAAAUCGACCGAUCAAACAUUUUCCCGAGCGAAUCUGGCACGCAGCCACGCUCGCGGUUUCGAAACGCGCUGCGGCGUAUCCCGACCGCGUCGAUAACGAAUACGAUAUGCAUAUUAAUUACCCUAAAAAAAAAAAAAUAAUAAUAAUAAUAAUACUUCGAAAACAUCGAAUAUUUGUAUUAUGUAGGUAGCGAUGAUUAUUUUAUUUUCGUGUCGUGAAAAAAAAAAACGAAUAUUACGCUGUUAUGUGGGUAUACCUCGGCCUAUUAAAUAACGUCGAGACACAAAUAAAAUACAUACGUGUCCAAGGUAAAAGAUAAUACCGCGUCGUAUUAUAUUCAAAACUAUAUACAGGGCGAUCGACGUAUAGCGUAAAACACUCGUUAUCUCGGGAAGUGUCGACUCCGUUCGAAAUUCGUUUUCUAAAUC